rnacentral:tRNA from 1 species
CCACCGCCGGCGGUGGCACACGCGACGCGUUCUUCGACAACGCGAAGUACCUGCUGAUCGUCCUGGUGGCCGUGGG